GACUUCCGCUUCACCUCGCUAUCUUGCCCUAGAAAGGGAACUCGGAGGGGACUCACUGACGAAAGGAGCUCCAGAUGGCGGGGGGCCAACCUGGGGCGACCCCCAGCGCCCACUUUCACCAUCUGGACCCCAGCAAACCUCCCUGUGGCCCUUGGUCCCGUCUUCAGCAGCUCCUUCUGGGGUCCCACACCUUCGGAGCCCGGCCCUGCCCCUGAGUCUCUGGAGAGAGCGAGUCAGCAGUUCGCCGCCGCGGGGCUCCCGUUUGCCUAGCACGCCAGUUUCUGUCCAGUUUCACCCCAAAUCCCCACCUCCCCCCACCCCCGAACCUCACGGCCACCCUGGGAAGGAGGCUUGACUUGUGACAUCCACCCCUCUUCACGGCUGAGGAACUUUGGCCCCGAGCGAGGAAGCGACCGGCCCACGGCCACACGCCCGGAGUAAAUAUCUACUCAUGGGAUUGCUGGGCUGUAUGGGGGCAGCAUCUUCUACUAUGUGCAUCUACAUUGGAUGGCAGUGGAGCAACACAGAUUGUUUUCUGACAAAAAUCAGCCAAGUACUAGGAGAGGCAGGACUUUAGAAGUGGAGGAGAUGGAGAAGGAAGCUUAGGUUACUAUGGAGUGUGCAAAAAGGUCCUGUGGAUUUAGAUACCACCACACACAAAUGCUGUUGUUGGAAGGUACCUGCCCAGAUAAGGACUGCAUUUCCUCUAGCAUCCAGAUGGGACCAAAUGACUGCUGGCCAAUAGAAGUGAGUGGAAAGGACUGACUCCAGUUCCAGGUUGGGCCUCCAACUGCUCUGGGCACGUCGAUGGAACAGAACACCACCUCCACCCCAAUACCACCAAUUCAACUUUACAUGAAUUAUAAGCGAGAAAUAACUUGGACUGUGUUAAGUCAUUGAGUUUCUGGGGUUUAACUGUUAUUAUAGUUAAGAAUGACUUUAACUAAUAUAGUCAAUGACAUCUAA
rnacentral:lncRNA from 1 species